UCUUGAACUUCUGGGCCCAAACAAUCCUCCCGCCUUGGCCUCCCAAAGUGCUGGAAUUGCAGGUGUGAGCUAUUGUGCCCAGCCUAGUUCCUGGAAUUCUUUAAGUAAAAGGCAUGGUCUAAACAUUAAGGCAUCAGUGAGGUAGUGGUGUAGGUUUUGUGCUUGGUGGGGGUGCAUUAAAGAAUGCUCUAGUAGGAGUGAGGUGAAGCUGAGCCCCAUUCCUACUCUGUCUCAAUUGUAACCUCAUUUUCAUUUCUAGUGAUUGAUCUACAAACGUACAAAUAUAGUUUUGGUAAAUGAGACCUAAAGGGAAUUUUAAUGGGGAAUUUCUGAGACGUGUCUCCCCUGCUCCCAAGAAAGAGAUGCGGAAGAGGUGGCCGGAAACCUCACGAUGGUCAGCCUUGCCCUGGCGGGAAGCAGAUUCCUCUGUAAGAGUGCUGAACAAAUAACAUUUUCAAAUGUGUUCACUGAAUUAAUGUAUUGUUGUUGCUUAUUUCAAAAUAAUUAGAAAAAUAAUUUAGUAGGGCUGAAUCCAAAUUCCCUAUGGAAUACCAACUAAUUAAGUUGGAAUCUUAAUUAAAUGAUUAAUGGAAUAGACUUCUAAUAGCUGAAAUUAGCUAUAUUUCUCUCUAUUCCAUAUCCCUUUUGUGGAUUUUUGUCAUUGACCCCAAUUUGCUUGUGGAAAUUGCAAGGCAACAGAAAACUCUGAAGCACUGGUUUAGAACACAGAUGGUCUGAGUUCCGGUCCAUGUCUGCUCCUGGAUUGUGAGUAGGUAUUCUACCCUCUCUAGAUAGUAGUUCCCUCCUUAUCUGUUUCAAUGUGAGGCUGGGAUUUGCUGAUCUAUGGUAUACCAAGUGUUUUAUUUUGAUAAAAAUAUUCCUAUAUUCAUUA